GGGUUGUGAGGUUAAGCGACUAAGCGUACACGGUGGAUGCCCUGGCAGUCAGAGGCGAUGAAGGGCGUGCUAAUCUGCGAUAAGCGCCGGUAAGGUGAUAUGAACCGUUAUAACCGGCGAUACCCGAAUGGGGAAACCCAGUGUGAUUCGUCACACUAUCAUUAACUGAAUCCAUAGGUUAAUGAGGCGAACCGGGGGAACUGAAACAUCUAAGUACCCCGAGGAAAAGAAAUCAACCGAGAUUCCCCCAGUAGCGGCGAGCGAACGGGGAGGAGCCCAGAGCCUGAAUCAGCAUGUGUGUUAGUGGAAGCGUCUGGAAAGGCGCGCGAUACAGGGUGACAGCCCCGUACACAAAAGCGCAUGUGCUGUGAGCUCGAUGAGUAGGGCGGGACACGUGGUAUCCUGUCUGAAUAUGGGGGGACCAUCCUCCAAGGCUAAAUACUCCUGACUGACCGAUAGUGAACCAGUACCGUGAGGGAAAGGCGAAAAGAACCCCGGCGAGGGGAGUGAAAAAGAACCUGAAACCGUGUACGUACAAGCAGUGGGAGCNNGUGACUGCGUACCUUUUGUAUAAUGGGUCAGCGACUUAUAUUCUGUAGCAAGGUUAACCGAAUAGGGGAGCCGGAGGGAAACCGAGUCUUAAUUGGGCGUUAAGUUGCAGGGUAUAGACCCGAAACCCGGUGAUCUAGCCAUGGGCAGGUUGAAGGUUGGGUAACACUAACUGGAGGACCGAACCGACUAAUGUUGAAAAAUUAGCGGAUGACCUGUGGCUGGGGGUGAAAGGCCAAUCAAACCGGGAGAUAGCUGGUUCUCCCCGAAAGCUAUUUAGGUAGCGCCUCGUGAAUUCAUCUCCGGGGGUAGAGCACUGUUUCGGCUAGGGGGCCAUCCCGGCUUACCAACCCGAUGCAAACUGCGAAUACCGGAGAAUGUUAUCACGGGAGACACACGGCGGGUGCUAACGUCCGUCGUGAAGAGGGAAACAACCCAGACCGCCAGCUAAGGUCCCAAAGUCAUGGUUAAGUGGGAAACGAUGUGGGAAGGCCCAGACAGCCAGGAUGUUGGCUUAGAAGCAGCCAUCAUUUAAAGAAAGCGUAAUAGCUCACUGGUCGAGUCGGCCUGCGCGGAAGAUGUAACGGGGCUAAACCAUGCACCGAAGCUGCGGCAGCGANNGUUGGGUAGGGGAGCGUUCUGUAAGCCUGUGAAGGUGUGUCGUGAGGCAUGCUGGAGGUAUCAGAAGUGCGAAUGCUGACAUAAGUAACGAUAAAGCGGGUGAAAAGCCCGCUCGCCGGAAGACCAAGGGUUCCUGUCCAACGUUAAUCGGGGCAGGGUGAGUCGACCCCUAAGGCGAGGCCGAAAGGCGUAGUCGAUGGGAAACGGGUUAAUAUUCCCGUACUUGGUGUUACUGCGAAGGGGGGACGGAGAAGGCUAUGUUGGCCGGGCGACGGUUGUCCCGGUUUAAGCGUGUAGGUGUGUGUUCCAGGUAAAUCCGGUUCACUUUAACACUGAGGCGUGAUGACGAGGCACUACGGUGCUGAAGUAACAAAUGCCCUGCUUCCAGGAAAAGCCUCUAAGCAUCAGGUAACAUCAAAUCGUACCCCAAACCGACACAGGUGGUCAGGUAGAGAAUACCAAGGCGCUUGAGAGAACUCGGGUGAAGGAACUAGGCAAAAUGGUGCCGUAACUUCGGGAGAAGGCACGCUGACACGUAGGUGAAGUGAUUUACUCAUGGAGCUGAAGUCAGUCGAAGAUACCAGCUGGCUGCAACUGUUUAUUAAAAACACAGCACUGUGCAAACACGAAAGUGGACGUAUACGGUGUGACGCCUGCCCGGUGCCGGAAGGUUAAUUGAUGGGGUCAGCGCAAGCGAAGCUCCUGAUCGAAGCCCCGGUAAACGGCGGCCGUAACUAUAACGGUCCUAAGGUAGCGAAAUUCCUUGUCGGGUAAGUUCCGACCUGCACGAAUGGCGUAAUGAUGGCCAGGCUGUCUCCACCCGAGACUCAGUGAAAUUGAACUCGCUGUGAAGAUGCAGUGUACCCGCGGCAAGACGGAAAGACCCCGUGAACCUUUACUAUAGCUUGACACUGAACAUUGAGCCUUGAUGUGUAGGAUAGGUGGGAGGCUUUGAAGUGUGGACGCCAGUCUGCAUGGAGCCGACCUUGAAAUACCACCCUUUAAUGUUUGAUGUUCUAACGUGGACCCGUUACCCGGGUUGCGGACAGUGUCUGGUGGGUAGUUUGACUGGGGCGGUCUCCUCCUAAAGAGUAACGGAGGAGCACGAAGGUUGGCUAAUCCUGGUCGGACAUCAGGAGGUUAGUGCAAUGGCAUAAGCCAGCUUGACUGCGAGCGUGACGGCGCGAGCAGGUGCGAAAGCAGGUCAUAGUGAUCCGGUGGUUCUGAAUGGAAGGGCCAUCGCUCAACGGAUAAAAGGUACUCCGGGGAUAACAGGCUGAUACCGCCCAAGAGUUCAUAUCGACGGCGGUGUUUGGCACCUCGAUGUCGGCUCAUCACAUCCUGGGGCUGAAGUAGGUCCCAAGGGUAUGGCUGUUCGCCAUUUAAAGUGGUACGCGAGCUGGGUUUAGAACGUCGUGAGACAGUUCGGUCCCUAUCUGCCGUGGGCGCUGGAGAACUGAGGGGGGCUGCUCCUAGUACGAGAGGACCGGAGUGGACGCAUCACUGGUGUUCGGGUUGUCAUGCCAAUGGCACUGCCCGGUAGCUAAAUGCGGAAGAGAUAAGUGCUGAAAGCAUCUAAGCACGAAACUUGCCCCGAGAUGAGUUCUCCCUGAGACUUAAAGUCUCCUGAAGGAACGUUGAAGACGACGACGUUGAUAGGCCGGGUGUGUAAGCGCAGCGAUGCGUUGAGCUAACCGGUACUAAUGAACCGUGAGGCUUAACCCUACAACGCCGAAG
rnacentral:rRNA from 1 species